UGGGGGAGGAGGUUUUGCAAACAAUUGAUUUAAAAGAAAGUCACAACUCACAUGGAUCAUGCCAUGUGCAUGAAAAAUGGGAAGCUUGCAUUGAAAACUGAUGUUAGGCAAACUGAUGUUAGGCAUACAAUUUUUCAGUUAUACAGACAAAAAACAGCCCGUAUGACAUUCAAAUUUAUAGCUCACAAGUUCUGCUAGCUGCAAGAAUCAUAAAAUGCAGCUCUUUUUCUUCUCAGAUGGUUCAUCUUUCUCCCUGCACUCUUCCCCAUCUACUUGAUUUUCUGUUGAAUCAGCAUCGCAUCUUUUCCUUUGGGGGAUUACUUGCAAGAAUGAAGCCUUCCAAUCUCUUGUUUCCAAGAACUUAAGGAGUAUCUCUAUCACUUGGUUUACUGUAAGGACCUGAGAACUUGACAUCUUCAAGUGAUUGUCUAUGGGUAGUUUUGCAGUUUGGAUUCCCUGUUCUUGUGCUUUCUUCAUGGUUAACCCUUUCCACCGAUUCCGAUCCACUAACCCACCAACAAUAUAUAUUUUUUUGGGAUCAAGUUCAUCCAACUCCAUUUCAGCAUCUGCUGUAAGAUAAACUAGAUUUUCUUUCUGAUCUUCCAAUGCUUCAACAUAAGAUCGACAUUCUUUCUCAAUUAUCCAUUUGUCAAAUCCUGGAAGCCUUUGCAAUUCGUUCUCCAUUUCCCCCCUGCAACCCGUCAACCAGAGGUGACCAGGAGAAGCGCAUCUUCCAUUCACCGCAUAGCAAUAC
rnacentral:misc_RNA from 1 species